UUAAUUUUGGUGGAAGGGUAUUACGGUAACUUCGCGUUCCAAUCUUCCUGUUCACGUCCCGCAAUCCUCUCAUCCAGCCGUCAUCUGCGCUGCGCGUCGCGUAUCCUCCAUCUCCACCUUCCCCUCAUCCCCUGCGACCCGGUGCCGCCGGCGCGCCGCCCCUCCACCGUGAGAAUCAAACUCUCGCCGCCGGCCAUGUCGUUGCCCUCCCCGUCGGCCGCCUCUCCGCUUUCCCCGGUCUCAUUGCUGCUCUCCCCUCGCUGCCCUCCCCCGGCCCUCGUCGCCGCCGCCCCCCUCCUCCCCUCCCGGCGGCCGCCUGUCUACCCUCCCCCGGUCACAUCGCUGCCCUCCUCGCUGGCCAGCUCUCUGCCCUCCCCUGGCCGGCUCUCCUCCCUCCCCUGCAGCCGGCUUUCUUCCCUCCUCCUCGCUAACCGCUUGCCUGCAUUAGUUCUGUAUUUGGAGUCGACACCUACGCAUUUGAUUCAGCUGGAGUCCCCUGCCAUCUAG
rnacentral:lncRNA from 1 species